AGAAAAAUCAUUAGCAAUUUUAUCACACCUCUUUGCAGAACUAACAAACGUCUUCCUUGCAUUGUCCAGCUCUGGGAUACAAGGGCUGAUACCAUGACAGGGAGCCAUGAAUUCCAUCUGAUGCCUCCAUCUUCUGAUCCCAUGGAUCCCACGGACAGCGCUGCCCUCGAUCAGACCCAAAAUUCACCUCAGGAGGCCAAAAGUUUGAGGAGAUGAAUGGUCUGGGUUGAUUGCCUCUCCUACUCACCCAGGCUGCGACCUCACUGCUGUGCAUCGUUUCCAGCUCAGCACUUGAGAACAGAGCCCAGCUGAAACCAGCGCACCCCAGUAUGGGUGCUCCAUGUCUCAACCAAUGGCUCCCAGCCUGCUGAAAAUAAAGGACAGCCCCAUGGACAUCCCUGCAGCCCUGCUGGGAACCAUCCCAGGAGGUCAGCCCAAGCUUCGUGCUGGGCUUUGUGCACCCAGCUCACAACAAAUGU